rnacentral:rRNA from 2 species
AUAAGAGGUCCCGCCUGCCCUGUGACUAUAGGUUUAACGGCCGCGGUAUUUUGACCGUGCAAAGGUAGCGCAAUCACUUGUCUUUUAAAUGAAGACCUGUAUGAAUGGCAUCACGAGGGCUUAACUGUCUCCCUUUUCCUGUCAAUGAAAUUGAUCUCCCCGUGCAGAAGCGGGGAUUUACUCAUAAGACGAGAAGACCCUAUGGAGCUUUAGGCUCCAGAGCAGACUAUGUCAAAAACUCUAAAACAAAAGACAAAACUUAUUAGCCCCUGCUCUACAUGCCUUUGGUUGGGGCGACCGCGGGGAAACAAAAAACCCCCACGUGGACUAGGAACACACUUUUCCUAAAACCCAGGACUACACUCCCAAAUAACAGAACUUCUGACCAGUUUAUGAUCCGGUAUAACCGAUCAACGAACCCAGUUACCCUAGGGAUAACAGCGCAAUCCCCUUCUAGAGCCCAUAUCGACAAGGGGGUUUACGACCUCGAUGUUGGAUCAGGACAUCCUACUGGUGCAGCCGCUAUUAAGGGUUCGUUUGUUCAACGAUU